rnacentral:tRNA from 1 species
GCCGAUCUAGCUUAAUUGGUAGAGCAAUGGUAUCGUAAACCAUAGGUUAUGGGUUCAAGUCCCGUGAUCGGCU